rnacentral:rRNA from 1 species
GACGUAGGGCGCGAGCGUUGUCCGGAUUUAUUGGGCGUAAAGAGCUCGUAGGCGGCUUGUUGCGUCGACCGUGAAAACCCGGGGCUCAACUUCGGGCUUGCGGUCGAUACGGGCGGGCUAGAGUUCGGUAGGGGAGACUGGAAUUCCUGGUGUAGCGGUGAAAUGCGCAGAUAUCAGGAGGAACACCAAUAGCGAAGGCAGCUCGCUGGGACGUUACUGACACUGAGGCGCGAAAGCGUGGGGAGCGAACAGG